rnacentral:rRNA from 1 species
GACGAGGGAUCCUAGCGUUGUUCGGAAUCACUGGGCGUAAAGCGCACGUAGGCGGAUUCGUAAGUCAGGGGUGAAAUCCCGGGGCUCAACCUCGGAACUGCCUUUGAUACUGCGGGUCUUGAGUCCGAUAGAGGUGGGUGGAAUUCCUAGUGUAGAGGUGAAAUUCGUAGAUAUUAGGAAGAACACCGGUGGCGAAGGCGGCCCACUGGAUCGGUACUGACGCUGAGGUGCGAAAGCGUGGGGAGCAAACAGG